rnacentral:sRNA from 1 species
UUUAUUUUAUUUUUUUCGUAAACACUAAAGUGAAAAUAGACAUACGUUUUGGGUUGUGCGAUUUGACGAAGAAAAAAACUUAAAUUAUGGCCAGACCGAAACCUCAAGGUAUACUUGACCUUCACCAACUCGCUACCAAAGGUUAUAUUGACGAGGAGGACCUUGAAAAAUCCUGUAAAAAUCCGUACACACCACUCCAUAAAGCAGUGCUAAACGGAGACGUGAAAGAAUGUGCAACACUGGCCUCGAAUGUCGAGUUCCUUAGUUCCGGAGAUUUACGUGGGGAUUCCCCGCUCCAUUUAGCCGUACGCUGGAUAAAUUCUAAAGGCGUAGAACUAAUGAAUGUGUUAAUGUCAUGUGGUGCUGAUGUGAAUAUAAAAAACAAAUGGGGACAGACUCCGCUUCAUUAUGCUGUGUAUCUGGAAUCACCAAAAAAUGUAGCGUUUCUUCUUGAUCAACAAAGCAUUGAUGUGAAUACAGCGGACAUCAAUGGGUACACACCGUUGCACUGUUGCUUUCCAUUUAGCACCGAAUCCAACAUUGACGAUCCAUAUACUCUCAAAGAACAAUCUACAACUGUCGAUAUUGUAUAUAAGUUAAUUAUAGCAGAAGCGGACAUAAACGCGCAGACUAAGUAUGGAGAUAGCAUACUACACCUUAUAGCCAAACGAGAUGACAAUAUGCCUCUCCUAAAACAUAUCUUUGAUAACUACGUUACAUCAAAUCUUGCUUUGCAUCUGCAAAAUUUGAAAGGCGAGAAUUUCCUUCAUGUGUACAUGAUCAAUGAGGUCUUUGAAAAUGUUAUUGAAAUCAUUGACUUCAUUGAUAUCAAUUUUAUCAAAAAUACCGUCAAAGCUUUGCUGAACAGUACAGAUGUACGCGGACGUGCACCGUGGGCCUACAUGAUUGACACCUUCAACAUAGACGAGAAUUCACUUGCCCGGCUUUAUAGUCUGCAUGCUGACUUUGGGAUCUCCGAUAAUUUAGGGAACACAGCAGUACACAGAUUAGCAGGUGUAUCCACUAUAUAUAACGACAUUUUGGAAUUUCUGUUGUUCGCAAAUGUUGAUAUAAAUGCCAAAAAUGUCUACGACGAGUCGGCAGCCUCUGUGUUUUUUCUUGAGCACGUGUUUGAUAGUCUGUUUAGAUCUGGCAUCGAGUUAAAUACUCAGGAUCGCUGGGGUAGAACCCCGCUGAUGUCUUUACUGAAACAUAGACCAAUACCUGAACUCAUAAAGAAAGUUAUAACUAAAGGAAAAGUAGAUGUGAAUGCACGUGAUGCUAAUGGUACCACACCACUACAUCUCGCAGCUUAUCACAACUUUGAAGAACAAGUUGAACUUUUGUUAGAGUUUCAGGCUGAUGCAUUUGCUGUAGAUAGUCUAGGAGACAAACCAAUGGAUACUGCUAGGAGACACUGCAGUUAUCGAUGUUUUAAACAAUUAGCAUAUACUGAAAAAAUGGAAGUGCUUUACACACGUAUUCAAUCUUUUGAGGACCUUCUUCUUGAUAUGCCAACAUCCAUUUGUAGCUCCGAGAUCAAAACAAAAGAAAAUAUAAAAAGUGUGUUGCACCUUCCUAGCAUAAGUAGUGACUUUUAUGAAUUCCUACUGAACAGAUUUUACAAAAGCAGUCCUGAAAACACCAAAGAAAUAAUGGAAAUAGCUGAAGAGGUAUUGAAAACAGUGCAAACCCUUUGUUCAGUUAUUGAAACGUACGAUAAAAGAUUCAAGAUGUCCGUUUUUCGAACAGGGUCGUCAGUAGAAGGCACCAAAGUUGGUCCUCCAGAUGAAUUUGAUUUUGCAUUAUGCAUUUGGGAGCUCAAGAAAAUAACGGACAUUAUUCUGACUAAGGAAUGCGCUGAAAAAGGAUUUGCUUGUCUAAAAUUCUUACAAAAGCCUGUACCAGAUGAAUACCAAGAGUUUGCAGACAACGAAGAAUAUUUUCUUGCGUUUCCAUUCCUGAAACUAUUUGAAGGUUAUUUGAAACGUGCUUUGAAUGAAAGAAAAGUUUGGUCUAAUGGUAACCUGUACUUCCAUUAUGAGGACAAGAUGCAUGUCAUUCGUGGAAAGCCCGUUUUUAAUUUCAGUGUUUACUGGAUUGGUACAGUAUACAAACAACUUAAAAUCAGCAUUGACUUGGUUCCUGUCGUAUACAAUCCUGGAUGGUGGCCCGCAAAUGUGAAAUUCCCCGACUUUCUAGCUAUGUGUAAUGAGGUUAGGAAAGCAGGCUGUUUCCUUAUUCUACAAACACGUGUAAAUGAUUUUAGUUCCAAUGCCCUAUGGAAAGGGGACGACAUUUUUCAAACCUGUAACACAGCUAGGGAUGAGAAGACGAGGAGAAUGCUCCGUGUAUCGGCUGCACCUGCUGAGAUUGCUUUGAUGAGAACACUCCCUGAUCCAUUUAGGUUUGCGUAUAAAUUGACCAAAAUUGUUAAAAGUAAGGUCUGUCCUCAAAUUGAGAUUGAUGUGAUUCCGUCACCGCUCUAUACAAUCCAGGAAAAAUUCAAACGCAAGAAAGCGUUGCCCAUCAACCCUUCCCACGCCAUCAAGAGCUAUAUGUUAAAGAAUUGUGCCUUCUAUCUAUGGUUAGAAAUGUACAGUUCUAUUCAGAAAGCAGAAACGACAGAUUCAUACGUAGAUCUUGCUGGGCGUAUCUAUGGAUACCUGCUAAAUCUCUCGGAUCAACGAUUUUUCUUCCAUAUUCGGAUGUUUUCGAAUUCGAGAAAGAUGAAACAUCAUCAAGGUAUAACGAGCUCAUAAUACGAUUAAAACGAGAAUGGAGUAUUAAAGUUUGUCUUGGAAUACUCCAGAAAGACUUUCCUGCUGAAUGUUUAUGCACGAAGUUGUUUUAAUGCGCGUAUUUAGUCAAAUGAAAAAAUGUAUGCGGGGCGGGAAAAAAAAUCCGCAGAAAUGUGGUACAAAUGAAUUUUAAUGAUAUAAUUUAUUUUUUAGUUGCAGACAAAUCUGACUUAGUAGGCUGGAAAUAACGCCAAAUACGUAAAACUGAACAAAUGAGAUAGAUAAAAUGAAUAUGUUAACAGUAUGCCACUAAAAUUAAUGGAUUGUACAAAUUAUCGUUUUUGUCAACACUUCAUUGUGUAGAUAAAAUGUCUUUAUAUGCAUCCUCUCCUUUGAAAAUCGGAUUUUUGUUUGCCUGUAUCUAUGGCUCCAUUAUAUUGAAACAUAAUAAAACAUAAUGAGAUCGAUUGAUAAUGAACGGUAAAAAUUGUAUGGAGCUUUCAUCGCCUACACAAGAGUUGGAGAACAUUCAUAACCAGUACAUGUUUCAAAUUCUAAAUUGUUCAUUUCUUUUCUAUUUAUUAAUAAACAGUAACGUGCAGAUGUUCUCAAAUUUGAAUAGGAAUACCUUAAAUAUAUGCAAAUAUAAAUAAGAUCGUAAGCCAUUUAAUAUUCGUUCUUCAAACCUGACUUUUGAAUGAAAUGUUUCUUUACAUUCUUUAUAUUAAACAAUAAAUCAUGCAGAUUUUAAAUUU